rnacentral:rRNA from 1 species
GUAGGGAAUAUUGGGCAAUGGUCGGAAGACUGACCCAGCCAUGCCGCGUGCAGGAAGACGGCCCUCUGGGUUGUAAACUGCUUUUAUCUGGGAAGAAAAAGGCCAUGUGUGGCAAAUUGCCGGUACCAGAUGAAUAAGCACCGGCUAACUCCGUGCCAGCAGCCGCGGUAAUACGGAGGGUGCGAGCGUUGUCCGGAUUUAUUGGGUUUAAAGGGUGCGUAGGCGGCUGAUUAAGUCAGCGGUGAAAGACUUCGGCUUAACCGGAGCAGUGCCGUUGAUACUGGUUGGCUUGAGUGUCGGAGGGGUACAUGGAAUUGAUGGUGUAGCGGUGAAAUGCAUAGAUACCAUCAGGAACACCGAUAGCGAAGGCAUUGUACUGGCCGACAACUGACGCUGAGGCGCGAAAGCGUGGGGAGCAAACAGGAUUAGAAACCCUUGUAGUCC